UAAAAAGGACUUAUUAUUGGCGCCACCGGUUCGGCUGCUGAGCCACGAAGAGGCGAGAGCUUACUAGCCGCCGCCGCCGCCUGCGUCGGCCGCCGCGCCCGCGCGCAGCCGGUGGGACGGGAGCCCGGGGAGGCACUUGGCGUGACUCUCGAGGCAGAGGACGACCAUGACACUGACGUUUUAAAUACAGAAGUUGCUGUACUAUAAGUUAAACCCCACCUUUGUACGAUCUAUGUGGUCUCGUACCAAAAGGAAUCCUCAAAUAAAGAGAGAGCAACGAAAUCAACCAUAUAGAAACAACGAUAACACCCUAAGUUAACCACGUAAUAUAAAAUCUGCGCCUAGGUAAUCGCGGACCAAUGGUUUAUAUGACCGAGGGUCGAAGUCGCCUAGUUAUUACCUGUGGAGUUAGUAGUAUCGUAGUUGUUAGAAUAGAUAACGAAAAGUACUUAAACCUGUACGAUAACGUCGACGUUCGCUCCCACAUGUCUACCUUAUACAACGUUAUAAGUACCGACAUGAAAAAGGACCCCGUAAUCAACGAGACUUGAUACUGGACGAACUCUUAGAUGGGGAGAAAAGUUACGAAGCCUAUAUAACGCGCCCUUAAACCGUAUUACAAUAUAAAACACGUCGUACGCACGACUACCGUAAUAAUGAAGGAAACCAGGAGACAGGAGAGAUGCACUCACCACUACCGGAAUAACAUUACCCUCAGAGUGUUAGUAGAAGAGACAGUUCCAGUAACAGACAAGUACUACAAUAGGACAGACACCUACCAGACUUGUAUUCUUCUUGACUGCUAACCUACUUUUACGACCGAGUUCCGUGACAUCUCUUUUGGUCAUCAGUACUCAAAGAACCACCAAGAGUCUCGAUACCACGAUGAUUAAGACCGUUUCCAAUAACACAGGGGUUGAGUACCUACCUACGUUCGUUCUUAGAGACCGUCUAUUUACUGUUCGAUAGAACGGGUCUACUUGACUAUCACAAACCCUUUAAAAGGACAUUACCGAGGCGCAUAAAAGGACCCUGACUGUUUCAUUCACUGUUCUUUGUUUGACUCCUGAACAUAACGAACUAACGUUUUCUGCAUCAAUUUGAUUUUUUUACACCUUUACCUACCGCCCCAUGUCUUCUACUACUGUCAUUGACAUGGACAAACCUCCUCCUCACGACGAACCAUGGACAAGAAUGGGGACCCAAAAGUACCUAUCUCUAGAGGAUGCGGUCCGGUAUAAGAAACCUCACAAAUGUCUUUCUUCCUUUAAAUAGCAGUAGUGUACGAUGUUUACUAUUGAAGCCAGGUUCAGGGACACCCCCUUGAAAACAAAUACAACCACUAGACAGUAGCUGUCGUUCAAGACAAUUCAAUAGGGGGAUGUCCGGGGCUACCCGUAAGAAGGAAGAAUAACGUCUACAAGGGAUAUAGAACCUUUUAACAAAUUCGACAAACGAAGUACACAGACGCCGUAACCGACGGCAAUUGACGGAUGGCCAUAUGAAAGAUCUACCCCUGCACUAAAACCUCUGACGGAAUGCGAUGCAACGAACCAAAUUGGCCUCUGUCGUCGCCCACUAAUAAUUCCAGACGGCGAAAGACACCUGGCAGGAUAGGUAGUAGUACAAGAGUUCCAAGAAUAUAAGGUACUGUCAUAUAAUACCGAUUACAUGUUGAGGCAUAGUACCCCAAGAGAGAUUUGAUAGGAACGUUCUUAAGUAAUUGUAUCAUGGUCAGUCGACAUACUCUCUAUAGUGUUUUGACCGGACGUUCUACGGAGCAAUACUUUGUUAACGUGAGACUGUAACUAUUUUCAACUAAGUUAUACCGGGGAACUUCAUCAUGUUCAUGAAGUGACGUAAGGUACACGUUUUAAAACCUAUUAAGGUGCCGAACAUCCUUAAAACCUCUAUUCCUUAUCUCACCCAUAUAAUCCUCGAGUCAGGUUAUGGGUAUUGACAGUUAGAAAUCAUCUCAUAUCCUAAAUCACGUUAAAUAACCUUUAUUUAUUUCACUCUGAUAAUGAUCGUGAGUUGUAAUUUCACUAUGUAUAACAACUAAGUCUUUCUAUUGAUAAUCUGGUUCAUUUAGACCAAAGGCAAGUAAGCCAGGUAACUUCUAUGUUUUGUCAAAACCCUUUUGUUUUCCUUAUGUGGUGUGAUCUGGGAUCCCCUUUGUCGGAAACGAAGUUGUACUGACCUCCUGCAAGGAGCAUUUUUAUAGUCUUUGCGCACAACUGCCGGCCUCGAAGUUAUCGAUUGGAAAAUCCGAUCGGUUUGUGAAGGAGACCGUCGAGGUCUAGGAGUUACCUCAACGAGGUUCACUCUCCUCUAAAAGCACCUCCCCCCGGUACGUUUUGUGAAUUUUGUGGGGAAGCGGAGGAGUAAACUCGUCAAGGUUUAGGUUUUGGUUUCUUUAGGGCCUUUUUUUCUCUCUGCUCUCCCAUGCUCGUUUCGUCGUCUUUGCUUACAACACACUGCGGCGCCGACGAGUCAAUCUACACCUACGGCAACGGUAAGCGCAUCGUAGGCAAGUGGUUCGACCACUCACGGAAGAAACGCACGGGCAACCCCAUUCCAAAAUACCAGUCCUGGCGCCACGGCCACGGCAACCACGAUAUAGACCCACCGCAGCCAAAGCUUGACUACUGCGACGUCGACGCGAACUCGUCGUCCAGAUCAACAGGCCUGCGACGGCGAUAAUUGGGACACUAGCAAUCUACGUAAUCAUAAGUCUUUUACGUCUGUGGGUUCUAAUUAGAGUUACUUGUUCACAACAUAGUUCUAAUCUGAACACACAAUGGAUUCUUUUCGCCUCUACCGAAAGGACCAGAACUGAACUUAAGUCCUACCUUAACACGUGGCUACUUCUUGUGUACUAAGCCGUCGAGUUACUAGACGUAGGUCAUCUACUUCAAAUAAGAAUUCGUGUAUAACUUCUAGUUUCGUUGACAAAAUUGUUGAUAUAUAUGGAGGUACGCAGAAGGUGAAAGUAGGAACGGUUGUUUACUUUCUGGGCGGAAGAGUUCGUUACCCUGGUAAAGUCCCAAGUGGACGUUUUUGUUAUUUUAAUAAUGUAGAGGUGGUAAUAUGUCUUCUGAUUCCCUUCGUAUCUUACUAGGCACGGCAGUUUAUCAAGGUACACAAAUGGAGUAUAGACACAGCUACAGAAAGUAGUUACCUCCAUCGUAACGGUAUGGACUCUAUUAAGUAGUAUUAAUAUAAAGUGUGUAUUUGUCCUCACUUAUAGUUUGCUAUUUUACGUUUCAAUUUGCGUUAUGCUAGAUCCUUCUACUGGUCGUCAUCACAAAAGAAUGUCGAAACGCCUAAACGUCAAUAACCGAUCCUUUACGCAGGAGGAACUAGGUUCCGCGUAGCAGCGGGGGUAAACCCAAAACCUCGGGACUACUCCACAACAGGUUUUAUAUACGUAAUUUUAGACUACGAAUUGUCUCUUCCUGUAGGUUUUGUCAUACUUCAAUCGUACGUGUUAGAUGGAGACCGUACUUCUACUGUGUCCCACUACGACACCGGCCCAGUUUGAGACACGAUAAACGCGGUGGAUCAAAGUACUGGCUUGCCCGUUUGAGCUAGUGUCGCUGAACGUAUGGGUUCGUUUACGGUUCUAUUCCUUGUAAGAAAAGGGCACGUAUACAACGCCGCUCUUAAAACGGGAGUUGAGGAGAUAGAGGCUUCGGAGGUCCUUGUUCGUGUGGUAGGCGUGGGACUCCCCAGAUGUGUUUCGUUCGUGGAGGUCUCGUAGUCACCAUCCAAGUACCUCCUUUUUUUUUUGACUACCCCUCGGGUAUGAGUUGUUGUGGCUGGAGAAACCGACGUCUUAAAAGUUCUAGUGUCCUUCCUUGGGUGAGGUCAUGUUCAAAGGAAAGGUAUCGUUGACUACGCACGUUCUCUCGGACCUUGUUCCCAGUUUGUUCUAUUUAGUCACUUGGGAUGUUAAGAUUCCAUCGUCACAUCGAAUCAUACAAUGACAAGCAUUAGAUCAAACAUAAUAAAUUAUUGAAGUGGAAAUUUUGUCUAUCUAUUCUUAGGCUGUCCGGUCAUAUAAAA
rnacentral:rRNA from 1 species